rnacentral:tRNA from 1 species
CGGGUGUAGCUCAGUUGGUAGAGCACCAGCUUGCCAUGCUGGAUGUCGCGAGUUCGAGUCUCGUCGCCC